UACCAGUAAAUGCAGUGACUGGAGCAUACAAUCAUCCUCACAUGUCUCCAACGCUGCAAACCCGAUUUUCCUGCUCAACAAAAGAACUUUACACCAUGAACACAAGUUCCAAUAGACACUAUGAAAAUCCACGAGGCUGUCCCUCUUCUUAUGGUCACACUGCUGCCUUUUGUUAGCAGCUCCACAUGUCCCUACACUUACAGGACAAAAGACGGGCUGGAGUGUCCCAAGUGUGAAACCAGGUGAGUGUCAAACCACAG